CGGUUCAUCCCGCCGGAGGCUACCGCUAUUGGAGUUCGAUUAAGCCAUGCGAGUCGAGAGUCUUAGGGACUCGGCGUACCGCUCAGUAACACGUGGGUAACCUGCCCUAUGCUGGGGAAUAACCUCGGGAAACUGAGAAUAAUGCCCCAUAGUUCACUACGCCUGGAACGGUGAGUGGACGAAAGCUCCGGCGGCAUAGGAUGGGCCUGCGGCGUAUCAGGUCGUAGGGGGUGUAACGUACCCUCUAGCCAUCGACGCGUACGGGUGUUGGGAGACAUAGCCCGGAGAUGGAUUCUGAGACACGAAUCCAGACCCUACGGGGUGCAGCAGGCGCGAAAACUUGGCAAUGCGAGAAAUCGUGACCAGGGAACUCCAAGUGGCUGGGGUAAGACCCAGUCUUUUCUUGACUCUUCAAAGGUCUUGGAAUAAGAGGUGGGUAAGGACGGUGCCAGCCGCCGCGGUAAUACCGGCGCCUCAAGUGGUAGUCGAUUUUAUUGGGCCUAAAACGUCCGUAGCCUGUUUGGUACAUUCGUGGGUAAAUCAACCAGCUCAACUGGUUGAAUUCUGCGAGCACGGCCAGACUUGGGACCGGGAGAGGUGUGGGGUACGCUCAGGGUAGGGGUAAAAUCCUGUCAUCCUGAGCGGACCACCUGUUGCGAAGGCGCCACACUAGAACGGAUCCGACGGUCAGGGACGAAGCCUAGGGGCACGAACCGGAUUAGAUACCCGGGUAGUCCUAGGUGUAAACGCUGUGGACUUGGUGUUGGGGAUUCUCCGAGGAUUCUCAGUGCCGAAGCGAAGGUGAUAAGUCCACUGCCUGGGGAGUACGGUCGCAAGGCUGAAACUUAAAGGAAUUGGCGGGGGAGCACCGCAACCUGAGGAU
rnacentral:rRNA from 1 species